rnacentral:lncRNA from 1 species
CACCCCCAAGUACUCCAAGGCUAGGUAUGAUGAAAUCGUGAAGGAAGUUUCUUCCUACCUCAAGAAGGUUGGUUACAACCCUGACAAAAUCCCCUUUGUUCCAAUCUCUGGUUUUGAAGGAGACAACAUGAUUGAGAGGUCUACCAACCUCGACUGGUACAAGGGACCAACCCUCCUUGAGGCUCUUGACCAGAUUAAUGAGCCCAAGAGGCCAUCAGACAAGCCCCUCCGUCUUCCACUUCAGGACGUUUACAAGAUUGGUGGAAUUGGAACUGUCCCCGUUGGUCGUGUUGAAACUGGUGUGAUCAAGCCUGGUAUGG